rnacentral:rRNA from 1 species
UACGUAGGGUGCAAGCGUUGUCCGGAAUUAUUGGGCGUAAAGAGCUCGUAGGCGGUUUGUCGCGUCUGCUGUGAAAACCCGAGGCUCAACCUCGGGCCUGCAGUGGGUACGGGCAGACUAGAGUGGCGGUAGGGGAGAUUGGAAUUCCUGGUGUAGCGGUGGAAUGCGCAGAUAUCAGGAGGAACACCAAUGGCGAAGGCAGCACUCUGGGACGUGACUGACGCUGAGACGCGAAAGCGUGGGGAGCAAACAGG